UAAUUGAGAAAAUGCCUUGCAGU
rnacentral:piRNA from 1 species